GGCUCCUCCUUGCUCGCUGGCGGCCUGGAGGCCUCCCGGGAGGACUCAAGCUGGCUGCCGGCUUUACGUAUUGGAAGAGAGAGAAGUGGACGAGGAGGACAUGGACACCGAGGAGACCAGAGAGGACUUCCGUUCCGGUACCUUCGGCUUGGCUUUGCCCUUCCCAUUGGCUGGUGACACUGACUUCAGGAACACAGGCACGGGGAUACAGGGUCAAGCUUUUACCCUGGCCAGGACUUGAACCUUAAGCCACCUAUCUCCAACUCCUGAGUAGAUGGGAACGCAUCUUGGAACUGUUAACACUGGGCCAGAUUGAUCCACUUAAUGAUGAUGAGUCAGUUUAUACAACUUGAGUUCCAAUCUUUCCAAAUGGCUUUCUAUGUCCUGAAAAUAAAAGCCAAAGUCCUCCUACUGGUUUUAAAGCUCUAAAUGACCUUGACUCAAUGUGAAUGGCUGGGUGGUUCUCGGUGAGUUCACUAAAUGAAUAAAUGGUUACCUGUAUUCUUUCAACAGUGUA